UUUUUUUUAUGUGAGUUUGUUUCAUACUUAAAUCAAUUACUUCAUCAUACUUAAAUCAAUUUUUCUCUUUCUAAAAAAAUUAUUUUUUUCUUACCAAUAUUAGCUAAUAAUAACCUACCACUUAAGAUUUAUUGUGAAAGUAUUGUAAAAAUAUUGUGAUAAAAAUUGAUACUAAUUUUAAUUUGAACGUACUAUUAAAAUUAUUUUUUUCUCUUUCUAAAAAAAUUAUUUUUUCUCACAAGUGUUAGCUAAUAAUAACCUACUACUUAAUAUUUAUUGUGAAAAUAUUGUGAUAAUAUUUCCUUCUUUUUCAUUUUUUUUCUCCUCCACUCACUUACCGCAUUUUCUUCUUUUUUUUCUUUUUUUUUUUUCCCUCUUUUUUUCUAGUCCACACACGUACCCACUCUUUUCCUUUAUUUCCUUCUUUCCUUUCUUUUUCCAUAUCACUUCUCCAAGUUCCAGAACGUCCCAGAGAGCUCUCCUUCUUCCUCUUUUUUUUUUUUUUUUUUUUUUUUUUUUUUUUUUUUUCUUAGCUCUUCGUCUGCAUGAUUCUCAUCAAACGAAGAUAGAGGGGAAAUCCAAAAGGGAGGAAUGGGUCAGAUCGGUGCUUGAUCUCUGCCUUCACCGCUGCCUGUCUUCCUCUCCACCGUUGCUUGAUCUCUUCCUCACUGCCAACGACAUGCGGCGGAAAUGGAGGAGCGGAGAAGAGAAAAGGGCAAAGUUUAUUGGUGA